GGUCAAGCUACAAAGGGCUCACGGUGGAUACCUUGGCACACAGAGGCGAUGAAGGACGUGGUUACCUGCGAUAAGUCUCGGGGAGCUGGAAACACGCUUUGAUCCGGGAAUUUCCGAAUGGGGCAACCCCUAGAACGGCCAGCUGAAUCCAUAGGCUGGCGCGAGCCAACCCAGCGAACUGAAACAUCU
rnacentral:rRNA from 1 species